rnacentral:rRNA from 1 species
GAGUUUGAUCCUGGCUCAGGAUGAACGCUGGCGGCGUGCCUAACACAUGCAAGUCGAACGGUUAAACCGCCCUCGGGCGGACAUACAGUGGCGAACGGGUGAGUAACACGUGACCAACCUGCCCCGCGCUCCGGGACAACCGCUGGAAACGGCGGCUAAUACCGGAUACUCCGCGGCCCCCGCAUGGGGGCGGCGGGAAAGCCCCGACGGCGCGGGAUGGGGUCGCGGCCCAUUAGGUAGUAGGCGGGGUAGAGGCCCACCUAGCCGACGAUGGGUAGCCGGACUGAGAGGUCGAUCGGCCACAUUGGGACUGAGAUACGGCCCAGACUCCUACGGGAGGCAGCAGUGGGGAAUUUUGCGCAAUGGGGGAAACCCUGACGCAGCAACGCCGCGUGCGGGACGAAGGCCCUCGGGUCGUAAACCGCUUUCAGCAGGGAAGACCACGACGGUACCUGCAGAAGAAGCUCCGGCUAACUACGUG